UACGUAGGUGGCAAGCGUUGUCCGGAUUUAUUGGGCUUAAAGGGUGCGUAGGCGGCUUUGUAAGUCAGUGGUGAAAUACGGCAGCUCAACUGUCGAGGUGCCAUUGAUACUGCAGAGCUAGAGUACUGAUGAGGUAGGCGGAAUGGACGGUGUAGCGGUGAAAUGCUUAGAUAUCGUCCAGAACACCGAUAGCGAAGGCAGCUUACUAAAGAGUAACUGACGCUGAGGCACGAAAGUGUGGGGAUCAAACAGG
rnacentral:rRNA from 1 species